CACCCGCCCAACACAUACUUAUUGACUCUCUACUACAGGCUUUCUCAACCUCAACACGUGACUUUUGGGAUGGAUCCUUCUGUGUCGGGGGGAUGGGGAGGCUCUCCUGUGCAUUGUAGCAUGUUCAGCAGCAUCCCUGGCCUCUACCCACUAGAUGCUAGGAGCAUCCUCCUCCUACUUGUGACAAUUAAAAAUGACUCCAGACAUUGCAAAAUGUCCCCUGGGGGGCAAAAUUGCCCCUGGUUGGAAGCCACCAAAUAAUACGGAUUCAGCACUCUUUAAAAACCUGGGAUGCUUCAGUGACUAAGACAGACCCCACUAUUAGCACCCCACACUUUCUUUUCCUGGCCUUCUUGGAGUACAUUCUAGUGGGAGGAGACAGACAAUAAAUACAAUAAAUACCUAAAUUAUGCUAUUCUAGAAAGUGGCAUGUGCUAUGGGAAAAACUACAGCAGCUGAGGGGUGAUCACGGGUGCUGGACGGGGUUGCGAUUUUAAAUAGGGUGGUUAGGGUAAACCUUGUUGGAAAAGUGCUUUAAUAUUUACGUAAUGCUCACUAGACCAGGAAUGGCCACUGACUUUUUGGGGUAGGUGGGAAGGCCUAGGAAGUCUGAGUCUUCCUCCCACGGCUUCCUCCUUCUCUCCAGAACCCAAUGGGCCUCAGUUACGUGGAUCAAGCCUGGACGUGUUUCUCUAUGCAACUACCAUGGGAUAGACUCUCCUUCUAGAGGGUUCUUUCACUUGGAGGAAGGAAAAUUGUCCUUCCCAGCAUGGCUGCUCACCAGAGAAAGGAGAGAAUGAACACACAUCUGAAAUCAGAACCUCAGGGGUCGAGUCUCCUGCCACUGCUUUUAAUUACUAUGUGUGCAUAGUAAAAGAGAUAUGCAACCCAGAACAAACACAAGAUAAAUAUGAUAGACUGUUCACCUACAUCCUGCCAAUAUUAGCCCCUCUCUACCCUAUUCCCUAGUGACAAUAAUUAUUGUAAUUCCAGAUUACACACACACACACACACACACACACACUACAUACUACUCAACAAUGGACUUUUUUGUUUUAAAAAUAUUCUAGACAUAUUUCAACAUCAAAAUAUGUAUAAUUAUAUUACCAUUUCUCUCUCAUUUUUAUUAUAAGAAUCAUACAAGUGUAUGACAGAAAAUGUGAAAAUUAAGAAAAAUACAAAAAAAGAUCAUAAUCUGCCAGUAGCCUGAAAUCUCAUUAUUCAGAGGUGAUGAUUAAUAUUCAGAAAAAAUAUAUAAAAUUUACUCCUGAAAUCACACUUCCCCAAGUGUGCCCCCCCACGCCCCGGCAUCACAUCAGAGUGCAAAAGGGAAGAACUGGGUGCUGCAGGCCAGGUUCACCCCAACGUCUGUGGCUCAGGAGGC
rnacentral:lncRNA from 1 species